UGCUGUUUUCAUUCUCUAAACCUACUUGACAGGAUGCUACUUCUCCCGAGUCUUGUAGAAGUUCGGCUAUCUUGAGUAAAAAUGCCAGUUUUGUCAUUUGGAUGGCCGUCAAGUCGUCUGGCCAUCGUGUCGAGCCUUCAAACUGGAGAAGAACAUCGGCAGGACUGUUUUGCACUAGCCCGCUGUUUGAGAUUUGAGUUGAUGUGUACCUUAAGAGAGGGCUAGCUGGGGAGAGUUGGUGUAAUGUGAGCGGAAGCCCAUCGAUGCCUUGGAGUAGUUUUUCAAGAGAGCUGAAUGCAUCCAUAUACGGCUGAAAGGAAGAAGUAGGGUUCAAUGCGCUGGCACCGUUGAAGUAUUCGUCGCCAAGGUCGUAGUUAGCAAAUGUGAUGCGGUUUCCAUCAAGGCCAAGAUGCAGCUUCAAGAUAUGGGCCACAAUUUGCUGGACAAUUGGUGGGUCUGACUGGC
rnacentral:sRNA from 2 species